GGUUGAACCUUCUAGUGUGAAAGAAAAAAAAAAACGAUCAGGAUCAUAUAUGUGCCUUUGCAGGGACGCGGGGGGCAUAACCUAACAAAUGUGUGGGGUCAAUUGGUUUCCCAAGGGGACGCUACUGAGAAGCUGGCUCACCAAGUCCCGGCCCAGACUGCUGUUGCUCAUCGCGGGGUUGAAAAGGCCUCAGGUGACCCUCAUGCGGAGGAAAAGGAUGAAGCGCACAAAAGUAGCAAAGGCCACGUAAGCGGUAAAUAUGGCUAGUGUUGCAUGUAAGGAUAAACUCCCUCCCCUCAAAACGGAUGAUUCUUAAAUAGCUAUACCCAUCACAAGAGAUACCCAACAGUUAAGAUUGAGGAACAGUUAUUGGUCUAAGGAAAUGAGUGACAUUCUAAUCAUAAAUGAAUAAUGCCUACUGUAAAGGGAUAAACAGUAACACUUUAUUGAAAGCCGACAGUGAAAAUUCUUUAUAACUUAUCAGCAUAUAGGGAGCCUUUAAGAUGUCGUAUUAUAAGGCUUGCAAUAUGUCUAAUCAAAUCUUCAAGUGACAAAACGUAGUCAGGAUCAUUACUAGAUUAUAAGACAUAAGGAGGCUAAAACAUGCUUCUGAGAAGUUUUGCAUAAUGUGUUAUACCUGUUGAUGUAAAGUGUAACUGGAUAAAAUAUUAACUGUACACUAAAGUUGAUGGUUAAUAUUCGGCUUAAUAAUUAGAGUUCUAUGAUACCUACCUGUCGGGUUUCGAAAGCCAGUCAAGAAAAGAGGAAGAACUCAAGAGCAAUUGUGCACAGCACACUUUCCUGUCCUCAAAAUCCAGUAGAAUGACUACCCAGCAGAGGUUCCAAUCUUACCCCAACGACAGACCACAGUUUACUGUAAUUAACUAAUAUGCCAAAACGGCCCUCCACAUGACCAAUGUUCAGAAUGGGGAACUACUUGCUAAAUACAUGAGCAUGCAACAUUGUACUAAACAUACUACAUCCGGUAGUGAAUAUGGGCAGGUAUUCUGGGCGGGAUUGCAAAUGCUAAUGUUAAUCCAACAACUAGAGGUCCCAAACGCUUGACAAGAAUAUUGUCAUUUUACUGUAGAGUUAUCUCGAGUUAGUACCUUGCUAGUAGGCUAGCUUGGGCUACAGCUAGCUUCCCAUUCUCAGGACAGUUUGAUUUCAAAUUUCAAAGAAUACUAUCAUUAAGGAUAAGUGUUGGCUGCUAAAUAUGUCAAUCAGAUCUGAGACAAAUAGGGGCAUAUCUUUGGUGUUAGCCACAACUCCUUCCUAUAGUAAUGCCUUCUGGGAUAGAAAUAAACACUCCUGUGAUAGUGUACAGGGAUCUCAUACAAUAAAUAGCCACUUUGAUUUAGCCAUAACAUGAAAAAAAAAUGGUUUUACUCCAUUCAGUUUUCCACUCGUUUGAUGUGUCCCACCAGUGGCAAGUUUUACAACAUACAAUGGGAAUAGACUGAUUCAUGGCUAAAUCUAAACAUAUCUACAUUUGAGCCCCGGUUGCCAUAAACAUUUUUACUUAACUUUGUAAGCUCUUACUUCUAUUGGAGAAACUCCAUAGAUCCCCAUAUUAAUCUUGUACUCUUGAUGAGUGCAGUACCAGAGACUCUAGCAGCA
rnacentral:lncRNA from 1 species